rnacentral:rRNA from 1 species
UACGUAGGGAGCAAGCGUUGUCCGGAAUCAUUGGGCGUAAAGCGCGCGUAGGUGGCCUCAUAAGUCCGCUGUGAAAGUCAAAGGCUCAACCUUUGAAAGCCGGUGGAUACUGCAGGGCUAGAGUCCGGAAGAGGCGAGUGGAAUUCCUGGUGUAGCGGUGAAAUGCGCAGAUAUCAGGAGGAACACCGAUGGCGAAGGCAGCUCGCUGGACGGUACUGACGCUGGAGGCGACGAAAGCGUGGGGAGCAAACAGG